rnacentral:ncRNA from 2 species
GCUACGUUCUCGAACGCCAGUCGUACUCACAAGUGAGACAGGGAACCCGGUGAGAAUCCGGGACUGACGCGCAGCGGUGAGGGUGACGGGCGAGGCACUUUGCCACUGGAUCAUUGCGAUCUGGGAAGGCGCCUCGUCUGGUUGAUCCCGAGUCCGAAGACCUGCUGGCCGUGGACAGGACGU